rnacentral:rRNA from 1 species
AUCUGGUUCAGGACGAACGCUGGCGGCGUGCCUAAUACAUGCAAGUCGAACGGUCUUUCUAUGGAAGCUUGCUUCCACUGAGAAGAUAGUGGCGAACGGGUGAGUAACACGUGGGUAACCUGCCCAUAAGAGGGGGGAUAACAUCCGGAAACGGGUGCUAAUACCGCAUAGUUUUCUUGAUCGCAUGAUCGGGAAAGGAAAGACGGCCUUUGUGCUGUCGCUUAUGGAUGGACCCGCGGCGUAUUAGUUAGUUGGUGAGGUAACGGCUCACCAAGACGAUGAUACGUAGCCGACCUGAGAGGGUGAUCGGCCACAUUGGGACUGAGACACGGCCCAAACUCCUACGGGAGGCAGCAGUAGGGAAUCUUCCGCAAUGGACGAAAGUCUGACGGAGCAACGCCGCGUGAGUGAAGAAAGGUUUUCGGAUCGUAAAACUCUGUUGUCAGAGAAGAACAAGUUGGAGAGUAACUGCUCCAGCCUUGACGGUAUCUGACCAGAAAGCCACGGCUAACUACGUGCCAGCCGCUGC